rnacentral:rRNA from 1 species
UACGGAGGGAGCUAGAGGUGUUCAGCAUUACUGGAAGAAAAGCGCACGUAGGCGGCCGUUCAAGUCAGAGGUGAAAGCCCGGGACUCAACCCCGGAAUAGCCUUUGAAACUAGAUGGCUUGAAUCUUGGAGAGGUCAGUGGAAUUCCGAGUGUAGAGGUGAAAUUCGUAGAUAUUCGGAAGAACACCAGUGGCGAAGGCGACUGACUGCACAAGUAUUGACGCUGAGGUGCGAAAGCGUGGGGAGCCAAUAGG